UACGGAGGAUGCGAGCGUUAUCCGGAUUUAUUGGGUUUAAAGGGUGCGCAGGCGGCGCGUCAAGUCAGCGGUAAAAAUGCGGCGCUCAACGCCGUAGAGCCGUUGAAACUGGCGCGCUCGAGUAUGUGCGAGGAAGGCGGAAUGCGUGGUGUAGCGGUGAAAUGCAUAGAUAUCACGCAGAACCCCGAUUGCGAAGGCAGCUUUCCAGCACACGACUGACGCUGAGGCACGAAAGCGUGGGUAUCGAACAGG
rnacentral:rRNA from 1 species